CUGACACUCUUUUGGACAGAAGAAAGGUUGUGGAUGUUACAGAAGCGACAUCCAUUCCUGCUUGCUAAAAAUCACCUGCCACCUUGACUGGAUAUAUCUGUCUCUGUUUCCUGUCCUCACUCCAGAUCUUUGCUACUGGGGCCUUGCUUUUCUUCCACGGAAGGAGAUGGGAGAUUUGCCACAACUGCAGUGACAGCAGUAGGAGAGCAGACACAGAUUAGGCAGGGUGUUGGAGGAUUUUCUGCAUGCUCUGAAGCAUGUCAUAAAUUGCAAUAAAUUCAUCUGUUUAUGGAUUCUGAACCUGACCAACUUCCAUGAGCACAAGGUAAACUGAAACAAAUGUUCCACUGUGUGGCUCAGUACAGCAGUCAGAGGAGGAAGAACAUCCAUACUUGACCUCUGUGAUGGCAAGAUACACUUCAGAAUGUGGAAGAAAAAAACCCCAAAACAGUAAGAGAGACUGGAGCUCUAAGCCUCAUACUGUAAACAUCACCCAGAUGAUGCUGUGGCCAGGAAUCAAUUUGAAGUCACCUCCAUUAACAGUAAUCACUGUUGUUCAAACUGCAGCAGAUCCACACCUUGUACUUCAGGGCCUAAAACUACUUUUAUUAAAAAAAAAAUAAAAAAUAA